GAGAAAAUGCAUACGAGUCUCCAAAAUAGUUUUAAAAAAUUGUUCACGAAUAUUCUAUCAAAACAAGCAAGCUUUCUGUUGAAAAAAUUAAAGAUGUUUUUUCCCUUAAAUGUUUGCCACCUUAACAUCAAUUAAUAAAAUGGUCUACUGAACUAUCUCUGCGCAACAAUAUUGCCAAUAGAAUCCAUUAUAUAGAAUGAAAUCUUAAAAAGUUUAUCUAGUAAAAGUUAUCUAAGUAAAUCUUAAAAAGUUUAUAAAAGUAUAUCGAAAGUGUUCAGCAUCUAAUAGUACUUUAUAGGGUUCAAGAAAAUAAAUUAGCAGUUGAUCAAGAGCUAACAUUGUUUAAUUCUUCAAAGUUUGUACCAAAAUCAAUUGAUAUUUUUCCACUUCAAAAUUUAUUUAAAAAGUUCAAAGAUGUGCUUUUUAGAACGCCAGCUAGUUGAGAUAUUUCAGAAUAUGGAAUGAACCCCAACACUUUAUCUGAGUUAUGCUGUACUAGAUGGCUCUCAUCAGAUCAUAUGCUGCAUUUUUUCAGUAUUUUAAAUUCUAUCCAAAGCCAUUCAAAGGUAAUUUACUUUAAUUUUAUAGGAAAUAUUGAACAUUAUGUUUCAAGAAUAACUGCAGUCCAAGAAAAAUUGAUUUUUAUUAUAAAUGUUGGAGGAAACAAUGAGAAAACAUUCUCUGACACAGAAAUAAAUCAAGGUAGCCACUGGACAUUUGCAGUUUAUAAUAGUAUCAAGGGUGAUUUUUACAAUGGUGGUUCUAUGGGUUGGUCAGUUCUAUAUGAUUUUUUAUUUUAAGUCAAAUUGUUAAUCAGAAAACUGUAUAUCAUAAAUAAAAGCUUUGACAUCAUUUACUGUCAUGACCCAAGAAUUCAUAGGAAUGGAGUUAAAAAAUGCAGUUCUUUAUGCAGAGAAUACUAUCCAAUGCAAACUUGUGGGAUUAUCCGUGGAGUAAUUAACAUAAUAAUAUGUGUAAUCUCUUGUUUACAGUAUGAUUAUUUUAACCAUAUUAUAAGUAAAGAUAAAAUAGAGAACAAUAGUUACAUUAUUCUAAAAGAGCCUACUAAAUACUCUAAAUAUUUAAGGUUAGUUUUAAUGUCAUGGCUUAUUAGCAAAGAAAUUAUCUGGAUUUAGUUAUUUCUACAACUAUUGUUCGUGAAGUAUUUAGCAGUUUUGAAUUAUAUGAUUCUGAUGAAUAUGUGAUAAACGCAAAUGUAAUGGAACCCAAAUUAAAUGAAAAAAAAUCAUAAAUAUAAAACAUACCAAUUUUUUAUCUCUAAAAUGUGCAUUUUGUGAUGUCUCCUUUACCCAAAAAAGAACUUGCAGCGACAUAUAAAAAAUAAGCACAAAUCAAUUGAUGAAGCUCAAGCAUAUCAUUAAUCAGGAAAUUCUUUGUGUCUCCAGUGUGGAUUUCAGUGCAGACAAAUUAAUGGUUUAAAAAAAGCAUUUAAAAAACCAUCUGCAGUUCACCUUUAUACUUUUCAGAAAGAAAAAUUAUCAUUUGCUAAUGUUAAAGGAUUUUGACAUGUGGAAAUCGGAUAUCAAAAGUAAUAAGGCAAGACAAUAUGUUUUAUCAUCUGGUGAAAAGUUUGAUAAAGAUGGUCGGAAAGUGUCAUACUAUCAAUGCAGAAGAUGUGGACUUUAUAAAUAUAUGGCAAAUAAAAGAAUAGUCAAAAGUAGUGUUGAAAAAGUAUAGUUGGGCAAGCAAAAUGUUUAUUCGAGCUGUUUGAAUAGAAAAUACAGAGAAAUAAAGUGAGAAAAAUCGAUCGAUAAUUUUUAUGUGCUGGCUAUCAUCAUUAAAUGUAAUAAAUUGUUUCAAUGAAAUGCAUAAACCGCAUCUAACUAAUACAGAUUUACGCUGCUCAAAAUUGAAUGUCAU